UCACAGGCUUCACAUUCUCAGAGUGGGUUGCUGUUGUUGUCCUCUGCGUCCUGUGGUCCUCCACCGGACAGAAGGGAACGGAAGCUCAGAAAGCCAGCAGCCCAAAUCCAUGCAGCUAGUCAGUGAACGCUGAACUCAAGGACACACCCCUCCAAGUCUGUCGCUUGCGCUGUUGAACACUGCUCCUCACUAACGGCAAAGGGUGGCAUUGGGCAAAAAUAAGUAAACUGGAAGACUUUUAUUUUUGGUACAAUUUUAUACUUCUACUUCUCUGCAAAGAACAAAUAAACACAAUGUGUCCAGCCAGAUAAAUGACUCUAAUAAUAAGCUUUCGGCCCCAGAGUCAGGAACCGAGUCAGGCCAGGAUGACUUCAACUGCUGCCUGGAACAGAAUGACCUGGAGGAAUAAGCAAUGGGCCGUUGCCCUUAACAACCUGGUGACUGUCACUCACACUUCUGUAAAACCUCAUUUGCUUGCCUGCCCCACCUUGUGGUUUUAGAGAAGACAAACUGGACCUGGUACCAAAGCCUUUCGGGAGCUGUCCUGGCUUCGGUCCAUGGGUGACAUCUCUUCUCUUCCGCUCUGAUUGGUGUCAGAGUGCUUAUUCCAGAAAGAUCUGCAACAGUAGCCUCUCUGGCAGCUCAAUGUGGCCAAACAACCAUUCACUGGUCAACAGAAUGUGACUGUAGGUGCCUUUUCAAAAGAAAAUGGAACGUGCUCUUUUUUCCUUACUUUACCUUUCAGCCAAAACAAAGCCUUAGUCCUUAGCUACCUCAAUUAUACAGAUUGUCAACACAUGCUAUGCUGAGGGUAAGGAUACACUAGAAAAACCUGGGUCCUAGCACCGUGAAACUGAUGUAUUAACCCUGGAAGAAGUCAUUGUUGCUUUGGGUUCUUGUUACAACUUUAUUCUAGUGCAACCGGGAGGCAGCAGGAAGAUGAUCCAGUCAAGCGUCUCCGGGUUGCAAACAACAGAAACGCAAUCCAGAAUGGUCCAACCAAUGAGGAAGCUUGUGGCUCUUGAAAGCAGGAAGUCUGGAGUGGGCAGGCUUCAGGGGUGACCUAAUGCAUGGCGCAGGCUACCUUAGAACUUUCGUGACUCUUGUUGCAGUUCUUUUAUUGGCCUCAUCAACAAAUAAAAGAACAGAAAGAGUAA